CUUGAACGCUGGCGGCAUGCUUUACACAUGCAAGUCGAACGGUAACAGGCCGCAAGGUGCUGACGAGUGGCGAACGGGUGAGUAAUGCAUCGGAACGUGCCCAGUCGUGGGGGAUAACGCAGCGAAAGCUGCGCUAAUACCGCAUACGAUCUAUGGAUGAAAGCGGGGGACCGUAAGGCCUCGCGCGAUUGGAGCGGCCGAUGUCAGAUUAGGUAGUUGGUGGGGUAAAGGCUCACCAAGCCAACGAUCUGUAGCUGGUCUGAGAGGGCGACCAGCAACACUGGGACUGAGACACGGCCCAGACUCCUACGGGAGGCAGCAGUGGGGAAUUUUGGACAAUGGGCGCAAGCCUGAUCCAGCAAUGCCGCGUGCAGGAAGAAGGCCUUCGGGUUGUAAACUGCUUUUGUACGGAACGAAAAGGCUCUGGAUAAUACCUGGGGCUCAUGGCGGUACCGUAAGAAUAAGCACCGGCUAACUACGUGCCAGCAGCCGCCGUAAGAC
rnacentral:rRNA from 1 species